AGAACGAACGCUGGCGGCAGGCCUAAUACAUGCAAGUCGAACGCACUCUUCGGAGUGAGUGGCAGACGGGUGAGUAACGCGUGGGAACCUUCCCAAUGGUACGGAAUAACUCCUGGAAACCGGUGCUAAUACCGUAUAAGCCCCUCGGGGGAAAGAUUUAUCGCCAUUGGAUGGGCCCGCGUCGGAUUAGCUAGUUGGUAAGGUAAUGGCUUACCAAGGCUACGAUCCGUAGCUGGUCUGAGAGGAUGAUCAGCCACACUGGGACUGAGACACGGCCCAGACUCCUACGGGAGGCAGCAGUAGGGAAUCUUGGACAAUGGGCGAAAGCCUGAUCCAGCCAUGCCGCGUGAGUGAAGAGGCCUUAGGGUUGUAAAGCUCUUUUGGCGGGACGAUAAUGACGGUACCCGCAGAAUAAGCCCGGCUAACUUCGUGCCAGCAGCCGC
rnacentral:rRNA from 1 species